GUCAAGAUGUCCGAGUGGUUAAGGAGUGUGACUCGAACUGGCUUCUUCUGAAGUAUAUUGAUAUCACAUGGGUUCGCCCGCGCAGGUUCGAAUCCUGUUCUUGACG